GUCAGACGCUUAACCGAUUGAGCCACCCAGGUGCCCCUAGUGUUAAGGAAUGUUCUUAGGCAAGACUGGGCCACCCCAGAGAAGGAUUAUGAAAAAGUCGACACAGAGUCUAUGGACUGUGAGGUAUCAUGCUGCUCGUUCCUGACCAUUCGUCAGAAUUUCCUUCCUUUCUAAGACUGAACGAUAUUUCAUUGUAGAAAGUUGGAUUAAUUCAAGAACAAGCCUUCUGAGCUCAGUUGAUUCGAGAACGAUCACCCACUGGAGAGUUGCGCUGUGCAAGAAAGACUUCUUCACAUUGUCCCAGUACUCUGCUUUAAAGAUAUGCACAGUAAGGCACCGAGGGGACCAGUGGGACAUGCGUGCAAAUCCAAGUCUACCAACUCUCAAAAGAAAACUUUCCCGACAGCAGAGGAGUGUCUUUGUAGAGAUUAAAAGAUAGCGUACAUCCCUGGGUGGAUAUACUUGCAUCUUUACACGUGUAUGUAAAACAAAUAUAAGUUUCACACUGCUUCCCACCUACCCACUGUCUUUUCCUUGUAACGCUUUCCUUUGAGCAAAAAAUUUAACUUCAAGGGCACCUGAAGUUAAGCAUCUGACUCUUGAUUUCGGCUCAGGUCAUGAUCUCACGGUUUGUGCGUUCCAGCCUCGCAUCCGUCUUGACUCAGUGCCAUUGUUGUGCGAUCAUAUCUUAAUGGCCACACAAUCAAUGCUUGGGGUUCUCUCUCUCCCUCUCUCUCUGCCCCUCCUCCACUCAAGCUCUCUGUCUCUCUCAAAAGAAAUAAAUAAACUUAAGAAAAGUUUAACUUCUCAGUCUGUUUUCAUUCUAUGAUUAUUAAAGAUUGACUGCUGUCAGGUCAAUUUAUUUAUUUGCCAAAUCAAUAGCAAGUUUAAACAAGCUUAAGAAGUUUGGGAACUGUCUGUAAGGUAGGUUCCAUUUUCCCACCGGCCCACUAAAUAUCUUGUCAUUGGCAUUAUCGGAGGUUCCAGCCUAGUGAUAGAGACAAACAUUUGAUUGGAUUCAAAAAGCAAGAAUGGAAGUGUGUGUGUGUGCGUGUGUGUGUGUGUGUUUUAACAGUGUUAUUUUAGAGCAGUUUAAGGUUCACUGCAAAACCGAGAGGAGGAGACAGAGGUGUGUGGGGACAGGCACAGCCUCCCCCGUUAUCACUGUCCCGCACCACGGUGGUACAUUAUUACAGUUGGUGAACCCGUAUUGAUACAUCAUUACCCAAAGUCCAUAGUUAACUCUUGGUGGUGCACAUUCUACGGGUUUGAACAGAUGACACGUGAAUGUAUAAUGUGUGGUGACGAUGGCAGUGUGGGUUGUUUCUCCUUGGUGCCCUCUUUUUGUUUAUUGCCUGAGGUGACAAAACGCAGGUCUAGCAUCCAGUUAAGCUGCAUGGAGGGCUAGCGAUUUCUGAGAUGCAAGAGUUAGCUGGGAAAACUACCGUCUUGUAGAGUUGGGUCAAUUCUUCCUACUUCUAAGAUGUGGCUGCCAGCUCUGCUGUGUGAGUGUGUGUGUGUGUGUGUGUGUGUGUGUUGUGUGUGUUGUGGUAGUUUAUGCUUUCUGAUGUCUUUUCUUGAACAAGUAGUUUCCUUCUUGGGGGUGGAUGGAAUGUCUUCCGCCAACACUUAGGGCGGAUUACAUUUCCCCCAUAGUCCGACUCUGCUUACAACUGCCCUUGAACUAUUCGGUUACCACACUGAGUGGCAUUAGAGCAAAUGCUCCUUGCUGAGAUGAAACCAGGCAUGAAACAGGGUGGUGACUGGUUAAGAAGCUGAAAUGAGCUUUGGUUCAAGGUGAGAAUUCACAGGCCUUGGUCCAGUGAGCCAUGUUUCCCAUGCUUACAUAUCUGUGAAACAGCUGUUAUAAAUUGAAACUCUGAGAAGUUUUCUCAGCAAAAUUGAAGAUAAAAAAAAAAAAAUCCAACUCUCCCUCCCCCCUCUUCUGUUGACACAGAAUCUGCGGCAUUCCUCACAGCUACCUUUCCUCCUUGACUUGAGUACUCUGUGACACUCCUGUGUCCCUAAGAACCAACUUCGUAGUCCUUGAAAUUUGGCCACCAUUUUGAACACGGAUUUUUAGAAAUAAUUUUUAAAAGAGGAAAUGUUGUACACCUUUGUAGCUUGAUCAUUGAACUUGAAGUUCAUGAGCCUUACUCCUAUCAAUUUUUUAACGUUUAUUUUUGAGACAGAGAGAGACAGAGCAUGAAUGGG